AAGUUGAAACAAAUAUUUGUAUUCAGUUUCGACCUGAAAUUUUAGUUAAUUAUUAACUCUACUUU
rnacentral:tRNA from 1 species